rnacentral:rRNA from 1 species
UACGGGGGGGGCAAGCGUUGUUCGGAAUUACUGGGCGUAAAGGGCUCGUAGGCGGCCAACUAAGUCGGAUGUGAAAUCCCCAGGCUUAACCUGGGAACUGCAUCCGAUACUGGAUGGCUUGAAUCCGGGAGAGGGAUGCAGAAUUCCAGGUGUAGCGGUGAAAUGCGUAGAUAUCCGGAGGAACACCAGCGGCGAAGGCGGCAUCCUGGACUGGUCCUGACACUCAUGAGCGAAAGCGUGGGGAGCGAUCCGG